rnacentral:lncRNA from 1 species
CAGGACUCUAUUUCCUCCCUGUUUCCCCUCAUAGGAUUCUGUUUCCUCCCUAUUUCCCCUCAUAGGAUUCUAUUUCCUCUCUAUUUCCCCUUGUUGGGUUCUAUUUCCUGUCUAUUCCCAUUUUUUGGCCUAUUUCCACAUUCUACUCCCCCUUCCUCUUCCAUUUCCUCUUCUAUUCCCAUUGUAUUCCCACUUCCUCUUCCGUUUCCCCCCUCCACCCCCA